GGGCGUAAGAGCUCGUAGGCGGUUUGUCGCGUCUGCUGUGAAAACCCGAGGCUCAACCUCGGGCCUGCAGUGGGUACGGGCAGACUAGAGUGCGGUAGGGGAGAUUGGAAUUCCUGGUGUAGCGGUGGAAUGCGCAGAUAUCAGGAGGAACACCAAUGGCGAAGGCAGAUCUCUGGGCCGUAACUGACGCUGAGGAGCGAAAGCGUGGGGAGCGAACAAGAUUAGAUACCAUGGUAGUCCACGCCGUAAACGUUGGGAACUAGAUGUAGGGACCAUUCCACGGUUUCUGUGUCGCAGCUAACGCAUUAAGUUCCCCGCCUGGGGAGUACGGUCGCAAGACUAAAACUCAAAGGAAUUGACGGGGGCCCGCACAAGCGGCGGAGCAUGCGGAUUAAUUCGAUGCAACGCGAAGAACCUUACCAAGGCUUGACAUAUAGAGGAAACGUCUGGAAACAGUCGCCCCGCAAGGUCUCUAUACAGGUGGUGCAUGGUUGUCGUCAGCUCGUGUCGUGAGAUGUUGGGUUAAGUCCCGCAACGAGCGCAACCCUCGUCCUAUGUUGCCAGCACGUAAUGGUGGGAACUCAUGGGAGACUGCCGGGGUCAACUCGGAGGAAGGUAAU
rnacentral:rRNA from 1 species